rfam:Pristionchus pacificus strain PS312 contig2416, whole genome shotgun sequence.
UCUUCAUUUCACGUGCUCUCUCACCGGUCAGAGUGACGAGAAAGUGUGCGAAAUGAAGAGA